UAAAACAACUUUACGCGAUCAUCUAAUCAAAUUUGAUAAUUUUGCCACAUCAUUAAUUAUAUAUUUUAAAAAUAAUUUUAUUAAACAAACUACAAUUUUUAGUUUCCACUUCCCCUCUAUAGAGAUCUCUACAAACUGAUUGAAGACCAUCUUCUACAACUUUCCAUCUUUAACUCCCGUAAUCCAUCUUGAGUGAUACAAACUGUGGCCAUGGCAACAUUUCUUAUUAAAGAACGACAAAUAAGAUGAACCACAACCCUUGCUCUAAUACAUACAUGGGGCGUUCAUUGAAAAUCAAAGAGCGGAUGUUAUAAUGGAAGGGAAACAACAAGACACCGAUUAGAAAUCACAGGAUCGACGAGUGUAUUGGGUCACUGGUUUAUUG
rnacentral:lncRNA from 1 species